rnacentral:misc_RNA from 1 species
GAUGAAGAACGUAGCGAAACGCGAUAAGUAGUGUGAAUUGCAGAAUUCAGUGAAUCAUCGAGUCUUUGAACGCACAUUGCGCCCCCUGGUAUUCCGGGGGGCAUGCCUGUCCGAGCGUCAUUGCUGCCCUCAAGCACGGCUUGUGUGUUGGGCCGUCGUCCCCCUCCUAGGGGACGGGCCCGAAAGGCAGCGGCGGCACCGCGUCCGGUCCUCGAGCGUAUGGGGCUUCGUCACCCGCUCCGUAGGCCCGGCCGGCGCUUGCCGACGACCAUCAAUCUCUUUCUCCAGGUUGACCUCGGAUCAGGUAGGGAUACCCGCUGAACUUAAGCAUAUCAAUAAGCGGAGGA